rnacentral:sRNA from 1 species
ACAGAACAGUUUACAGUACGAAUGAUAGGACAUACGGAUUAACAACAACGGAAUUUUGAAUUACCACGAAAUAUAAUGAUUCAUCUGUUUGAAUAAUGACCGAAAUAUUUGAUAUUGUGUGUGAAAGAGAAAAAAAGAAUUAUAUAUAUGGAUGCCGACGGUUGGAUAAAUGAAGAAAGAAAAAAAGAAAUAAAGAAACAAAUGAAGUCGGCCUAGUUAUGAUCGCUGUGUUGGUUUACACAUAAAAUCCCUGUGACACCACAUCGACCUGGAAGCCUGAGGAGGAAAGACACACUAUGCGUAUGUCGAUGAUUCGAGAACUCUUUAAAACAUGACCAGAGAGUAGUAUCGGUGAUUUUCUAAGGGAUAAUAAUCAACGAAUUAUUAAAAUGAUGAGUAGUGACGGUGACUAGUUUAUUUACAACACCUACUAUCGGUGGAAAUCCUUAUAAAAUGCACCUAGUGAUGAUAAUUUUUGCUUUUAUCUUUUAUAAUAUAAUUCUUUUCUGACAUUGAUAAUCCCGUUAAAAAGGAAAACGUAUUUUGACCCACAGAAAGAGCAGACUCCGACAAAUCUAUAUUUUUAUUUGACAGUGAUAAACAAAGUGUUUUUGAUGGAUUUUAUUUUUUUGUGUGCAUGCACCAGCUAUGUAAUCUAUGUUGGUUAAUAAGUCAUCGUAGAUCCACCAAGUAUGUAAAUCUAAAGUGAAAUGUGCUUGUUUAUGGUGAGUCCAACAAGGUAAGAAUUCAUUCCACUAGUCUGCAUCAGCGAAAACUAAAAAUAUGUUAAUGUGAUCUUUCUGGUGGAUUCACCAACUUUCUUGUCUUGUAUAGAAGCUAAAAUUUUCAUCUUUUUUGGUUGCCAAACCUGCUCUAUUUAACACAGCGAUUUAUUAACAGCUUUUAAUCUUUAAAAAAUUCUUGGUGAGUCCACCAAUUUGGAACUCUAGUUUCAUUUCACAUUUCGCACAAUUUUAUAUUGGUGGAUCCACCAAGUAUUGAAAUAGCGACAGCAUUUUUCAAUUUGGACAAGUUCCUAAAAUUUGUUCAGUGUAGUAUUUAUAUAUUGACAUGUUAUUGACAUAUUAGAAAAUUUUACCUCUUUGACUAUUGGUGGAAUCACCAAACAAUGUUUGCAAAAUUGCGUAUUUUUAGGCAUUCGAAAGUUUUUGUUUUUGUCAAAUGUUCUAUCAUUGCUUUGUUGGUGGGUUCACCAAUUCUUUGAAUGAAAUACAAAACUGUAUACAAAUUCACAAUUGAUUUUUGGUGGAACCACCAGGGUUCUAGUUUCCAGUGUGAAUGAGAUAUUUUAUGCUCUUCAAAAUAAUAGAAUUGCCAAUAUCUUAUUAUUGGUGGACCCACCAAGUUUAUUUGAAAGUGAGAUAGUCGAUGAAUAAAAUUGGUGGAAUCACCAGGGUCCUGUGUAUUUGAUAUAUUUGAUGCCGUUUUAAAUAACAGAAUCGCCUUUAUCUUAUUAUUGGUGGACCCACCAAGUUUUUUCGUAAGUGAAACAAUCGAUGAAUGAAAUUGGUGGAAUCACCAAUAUUAUGACUGUCAUUGUGGAAUAUGAAGGUUUAAAGAUACUGUAAAAUGUGCUUUUGUGUAAAAAAGAUGGUGGGUUCACCAAUUUAUGUUGUGUUCAACGACCAAAAUGAAUAAAAUUCAUGUUCAUUUCUG